UACGGGGGGAGCAAGCGUUGUUCGGAUUUACUGGGCGUAAAGGGCGCGUAGGCGGCCACCGCAAGUCGGUUGUGAAAUCUCUGGGCUUAACCCAGAAAGGUCAACCGAUACUGCGGGGCUAGAGUGCAGAAGGGGCAACUGGAAUUCUCGGUGUAGCGGUGAAAUGCGUAGAUAUCGGGAGGAACACCGGUGGCGAAGGCAGAUCUCUGGGCCGUAACUGACGCUGAGGAGCGAAAGCCAGGGGAGCAAACGGG
rnacentral:rRNA from 1 species